CUUACACAUGCAGUCGAGCGGGGAGGUUGCUUCGGUAACUGACCUAGCGGCGGACGGGUGAGUAAUGCUUAGGAAUCUGCCUAUUAGUGGGGGACAACAUUCCGAAAGGGAUGCUAAUACCGCAUACGUCCUACGGGAGAAAGCAGGGGACCUUCGGGCCUUGCGCUAUCAGAUGAGCCUAGGUCGGAUUAGCUAGUUGGUGAGGUAAUGGCUCACCAAGGCGACGAUCCGUAACUGGUCUGAGAGGAUGAUCAGUCACACUGGAACUGAGACACGGUCCAGACUCCUACGGGAGGCAGCAGUGGGGAAUAUUGGACAAUGGGCGAAAGCCUGAUCCAGCCAUGCCGCGUGUGUGAAGAAGGUCUUCGGAUUGUAAAGCACUUUAAGUUGGGAGGAAGGGCAUUAACCUAAUACGUUAGUGUUUUGACGUUACCGACAGAAUAAGCACCGGCUAACUUCGUGCCAGCAGCCGCGGUAAUACGAAGGGUGCAAGCGUUAAUCGGAAUUACUGGGCGUAAAGCGCGCGUAGGUGGUUCGUUAAGUUGGAUGUGAAAGCCCCGGGCUCAACCUGGGAACUGCACCCAAAACUGGCGAGCUAGAGUACGGUAGAGGGUGGUGGAAUUUCCUGUGUAGCGGUGAAAUGCGUAGAUAUAGGAAGGAACACCAGUGGCGAAAGCGACCACCUGGACUGAUACUGACACUGAGUGCGAAAGCGUGGGGAGCAAACAGGAUUAGAUACCCUGGUAGUCCACGCCGUAAACGAUGUCAACUAGCCGUUGGGUUCCUUGAGAACUUAGUGGCGCAGCUAACGCAUUAAGUUGACCGCCUGGGGAGUACGGCCGCAAGUUAAAACUCAAAUGAAUUGACGGGGGCCCGCACAAGCGGUGGGAGCAUGUGGUUUAUUUCGAAGCAAC
rnacentral:rRNA from 1 species